GGUGAACGCUGGCGGCGUGCCUAACACAUGCAAGUCGAUCGGAGCAGCAAUGCUUAGAGGCGAACGGGUGAGGAAAACGUAGUAACCAACCUUUAGACUGGGAUAGCCACUGGAAACGGUGGGUAAUACCGGAUAAGCUCGAGAGAGGAAAGGCAGAGAAGCGCUAAAGGACCGGAACCUGCGCCCAUCAGAUAGUUGGUGAGGUAAAGGCUUACCAAGUCAAAGACGGGAAACCGACGUGAGAGCGUGUACGGUCACAAGGGCACUGAGAGACGGGCCCUACUCCUACGGGAGGCAGCAGUGGGGAAUAUUGGACAAUGGGCGAAAGCCUGAUCCAGCAAUGCCGCGUGAGUGAUGAAGGCCUUAGGGUUGUAAAGCUCUUUUACCAGGGAUGAUAAUGACAGUACCUGGAGAAUAAGCUCCGGCUAACUCCGUG
rnacentral:rRNA from 1 species